rnacentral:rRNA from 1 species
GACGAACGCUGGCGGCGUGCUUAACACAUGCAAGUCGAACGAUGAAGCGGUGCUUGCACCGUGGAUUAGUGGCGAACGGGUGAGUAAUACGUGAGUGACCUACCUUUGACUCUGGGAUAAGCCUGGGAAACUGGGUCUAAUACCGGAUACGACCAAUCUCUGCAUGGGGUGUUGGUGGAAAGCGUUAUGGAGUGGUUUUAGAUGGGCUCACGGCCUAUCAGCUUGUUGGUGAGGUAAUGGCUUACCAAGGCGACGACGGGUAGCCGGCCUGAGAGGGUGACCGGCCACACUGGGACUGCGACACGGCCCAGACUCCUACGGGAGGCAGCAGUGGGGAAUAUUGCACAAUGGGCGCAAGCCUGAUGCAGCGACGCCGCGUGAGGGAUGACGGCCUUCGGGUUGUAAACCUCUGUUAGCAUCGAAGAAGCGAAAGUGACGGUAGGUGCAGAGAAAGCGCCGGCUAACUACGUG